UGGGGAAUAUUGCACAAUGGACGGAAGUCUGAUGCAGCAACGCCGCGUGCGGGAUGACGGCCUUCGGGUUGUAAACCGCUUUUUCUCAUGACGAAGUUUUUUGACGGUAGUGGGGGAAGAAGCACCGGCUAACUACGUGCCAUCAGCCGCGGAGAUACGUUGGGUGCGAGCGUUGUCCGGAAUUAUUGGGCGUAAAGAGCUUGUAGGCGGUUUGUCGCGUCGAUAGUGCAAACUCAGUGCUUAAGGCUGAGCCUGCUGUUGAUACGGGCAGACUAGAGGAAGAUAGGGGAGAAUGGAAUUCCCGGUGGAGCGGUGGAAUGCGCAGAUAUCGGGAGGAACACCGGUGGCGAAGGCGGUUCUCUGGGCCUUUACUGACGCUGAGAAGCGAAAGCGUGGGGAGCGAACAGG
rnacentral:rRNA from 1 species